rfam:Homo sapiens chromosome 17, GRCh38 reference primary assembly.
GCUGGGCGUGGUGACGCAUGCCUGUAAUCCCAGUUACUCAGGAGGCCGAGGCAGGAGAAUCGCUUGAACCAGGGAGGCGGAGGUUGCAGUGAGCUGAGAUUGUGCCACUGCACUCCAGCCUUGGUGAUAGAGCGAGACUCCGUCUCAA